rnacentral:lncRNA from 1 species
UCUUUUCAUGGUUGUUUGGAUCAGUAUGUAAUGAAGCACAUAGCUUUAUGAAGAGAGUGACUAUGUAUUAUUUUAUUUACAAUGUAUAGUGAAACUUCUGUAUUAGACAGAAUAAGAAGUUUUCUGAUCUUUGCUGCAUUAUGAUAUUUAAAUGUUAUAAUAUAAAAAAGUUGGUUCCUUUUUCUUCUUUUUUUCAAAAAAAAAAUUUCUGGCAGAAUUUUAAAGCAUAAACUUUUUAAGUCAGUUUCAGUUUGUAGUAAGUGGAAAAUUGGGUGUAUUAGUUUAAAAAUACACCAUGUACCUUAAAACUAUGAAAUGUUGUUGGGUAUCUGGAAACUCGAAAUACAGUCAGGCUUAAACUUUGUAUAAAAUUCUAUGAACCAUCUAAAGAAAUAUUACGUGUGGAGAGUUUAACAUAAAUAUUGUGGUGUCACAUAUAAGUAUACUGCAUGUACACUUUAGCAAAUUCUACUAUGUUAUUUUUUUGUAAUUUUUUGAAUGUUUUCUGAUCAAGUAAGGUAUUCACUUACCUUCAGUUGGCCAUUAGAAAGAAGUUGGUAUUGUUCUGCUAGUAAGACACAGAAUAUUAUGCGUGUAAGAUUAUACAACUAUAUAUUGCAUUCACUUCCUUUUGUAAAGGCAGUGCAAUAAGGUAAUGUAACACUACUGGUGAGAUCAUUUUAUAAUUGUUUUGUAAUUUGAAAUAAACAAAUAUUUCAGGCUGGUUGGAGCAUAUGUAUCAGGUAGUUACACAGGAUACAGAAGAUCCCUGUAAUAAGCUACUAUACCAUAAAUGUAGAGAUCUCUAACCAGAUCACAGAGUGUGUGUGUGUUAUGCUGUGCUGAGAUAUUGCUUUGACAUAUGGUGGAUUAAGGUCCACAACCAGGUAUUAUAUGAGUUGACAACUGUACAAGACAUCCUUUUGAAGACAGUUCUGAGUGAGCAACAGCCCAAGACACCUUGUUAAUGCUGCCCUGUUAUCUACUGAGUUUCUACAUACAAGUCAAGUAUCCAUCAAAGAUUGGCUAUGGUGUUUACAGAACUGAAAGCCAAGCUGUGAUUUUUGAAAAUGUAUUAUAAAGUUCUAAAUGGAAAUACAAUUUGAAAAGCA